UGUGGGAGCGAGCUUGCUCGCGAUGAGGCCCUCACUUUCAAUAUCAAUAUUGACUGAACCAGCGCUAUCGCGAGCAAGCUCGCUCCCACA
rnacentral:misc_RNA from 1 species